AUACGGAGGAUCCGAGCGUUAUCCGGAUUUAUUGGGUUUAAAGGGUGCGCAGGCGGGAGAUUAAGUCGGCGGUGAAAUUUUGCAGCUCAACUGUAAAAGUGCCUUCGAAACUGGUUUCCUUGAGUGUAGAUGAGGUAGGCGGAAUUUGUGGUGUAGCGGUGAAAUGCAUAGAUAUCACGAGGAACUCCGAUUGCGCAGGCAGCUUACUAAACUACUACUGACGCUCAGGCGCGAAGGCGUGGGGAUCAAACAGGAUUAGAUACCCUGGUAGUCCACGCAGUAAACGAUGAUUACUAGCUGUUUGCGAUACAAUGUAAGCGGCUGAGCGAAAGCGUUGAGUAAUCCACCUGGGGAGUACGUUCGCAAGAAUGAAACUCAAAUGAAUUGACGGGG
rnacentral:rRNA from 1 species